CGCAUUCACUACUGUAAGUCACUCUGGAUAAGAGUGUCUGCUAAAUGACGUAAA
rfam:Salmo salar isolate Sally breed double haploid chromosome ssa29, whole genome shotgun sequence.